rnacentral:rRNA from 1 species
GUGCACGCUGGCGGUAGGCCUAACACAUGCAAGUCGAACGGCAGCACCGUAAGAGCUUGCUCUUACGGGUGGCGAGUGGCGGACGGGUGAGGAAUACAUCGGAAUCUACUUUUUCGUGGGGGAUAACGUAGGGAAACUUACGCUAAUACCGCAUACGACCUACGGGUGAAAGCAGGGGAUCUUCGGACCUUGCGCGAUUGAAUGAGCCGAUGUCGGAUUAGCUAGUUGGCGGGGUAAAGGCCCACCAAGGCGACGAUCCGUAGCUGGUCUGAGAGGAUGAUCAGCCACACUGGAACUGAGACACGGUCCGGACUCCUACGGGAGGCAGCAGUGGGGAAUAUUGGACAAUGGGCGCAAGCCUGAUCCAGCCAUACCGCGUGGGUGAAGAAGGCCUUCGGGUUGUAAAGCCCUUUUGUUGGGAAAGAAAAGCAGCAGGUUAAUACCCCGCUGUUCUGACGGUACCCAAAGAAUAAGCACCGGCUAACUUCGUG